UGGGGAAUUGUUCGCAAUGGGCGCAAGCCUGACGACGCAACGCCGCGUGGAGGAUGAAGAUCUUCGGGUCGUAAACUCCUGUCGACCGGGACGAAAUUUCCGGGAGCUAACAUCUCCUGGAAUUGACGGUACCGGUGGAGGAAGCCCCGGCUAACUCCGUGCCAGCAGCCGCGGUAAUACGGGGGGGGCAAGCGUUGUUCGGAAUUACUGGGCGUAAAGGGCUCGUAGGCGGCCGCACAAGUCCGACGUGAAAUCCCUCGGCUCAACCGAGGAACUGCGUCGGAAACUAGGUGGCUUGAAUCCAAGAGAGGGAUGCGGAAUUCCAGGUGUAGCGGUGAAAUGCGUAGAUAUCUGGAGGAACACCGGUGGCGAAGGCGGCAUCCUGGAUUGGUAUUGACGCUGAUGAGCGAAAGCCAGGGGAGCAAACGGG
rnacentral:rRNA from 1 species